UGCAUUUAUGUGUUUGUGGGGGUACCUAUGUGCAUAUUUAUGUGCUGAAUGUUUUCAUGUGGGGAGCUAUGUAUAUAAAUGUUUCUGUGUAUGCAUGUGAAUUUAUAUGGGAGGUUGUAUUUAUAUAUGUGUUGAUGUUUAUGUGUUUAUAGGGGGGGUUAUACACUUUUGUGUUUGCGGUGAGGGUGUGUAUGUGUGUGUGUGUGUGUAUCUGCAUGAGCCUAUGGGCUUAUGUGUUCUGUGUCUUCCUAAGGUAUAGAACAUAGUUUUGGACAGCAAGUGUCACAAAGAGGCACUCCAGAAUCUGUGAACUUUGGCAAGUGUAUCCUUUCUCAGAAUGUGAUUGCAGGGGUUGGGGGUGUAGCUUGGUGGAGAGAGCAUGCUUAGCAUGUUCAAGGCCCUGGGUUUCAUCCCCAGCAUUAAAAAAAAAAUGUGAUCUUGGAUUAUGGGGCAAUUUACUGGGCAGAGGAUAAAAAAGUAGAAGCAAUAAAAUGUAAGAGACAGGACAGUGGAAAGUGUGGAGAGGUGUGAGGCUAGAGAGUUAGGUAUAGGGGGAGUCAAGAACAGUGCUUCCAAGGGAGUCGGGGGAGUAGAUCAAGCCCUGAGGAAGGCUGCAGUCGCUUUCCUUUACACCCCACCUUACCUCUCUAGCACUGUGGCCUCGGACAUGAUAUUUAAACUCUCUACACUGUUGUUUUUUUUUUGUUUGUUUGUUUGUUUUUUGUAGUUGUAAUUGGACACAAUACCUUUACUUUAUUUAUUUAUAUGUGGUGCUGAGGAUCGAACCCAGAGC
rnacentral:lncRNA from 1 species